CCUACGGGAGGCAGCAGUGGGGAAUAUUGGACAAUGGGGGCAACCCUGAUCCAGCCAUGCCGCGUGUGUGAAGAAGGCCCUCGGGUUGUAAAGCACUUUCAGUGAGGAAGAACGCCUGGUGGUUAAUACCCAUCAGGAAAGACAUCACUCACAGAAGAAGCACCGGCUAACUCCGUGCCAGCAGCCGCGGUAAUACGGAGGGUGCGAGCGUUAAUCGGAAUUACUGGGCGUAAAGCGCGCGUAGGUGGCUUGAUAAGCCGGUUGUGAAAGCCCCGGACUCAACCUGGGAACGGCAUCCGGAACUGUCAAGCUAGAGUGCAGGAGAGGAAGGUAGAAUUCCCGGUGUAGCGGUGAAAUGCGUAGAGAUCGGGAGGAAUACCAGUGGCGAAGGCGGCCUUCUGGACUGACACUGACACUGAGGUGCGAAAGCGUGGGUAGCAAACAGGAUUAGAUACCCCGGUAGUC
rnacentral:rRNA from 1 species